rnacentral:snRNA from 1 species
GGAUGUGAGGGUGAUCUGGCUGUGACACUGGUCACUCUGUUGAUCACCAGGGUUGACGUGGCUAAUCUGUCGGCUAGGCGGGUGUCCCCCCCCCCCCAACAACCCCUGUGCAUCCCCCUGGAGGCUGUGCAUGUGGUCGAAGAGGACGAACUUCUCCAUGGAGAAGGACUGUUCUGCAGUCAAGGGUAAUGAGUGACUGCACUCCCCUGCUAGGACCGCCAAACAAGCCCUCAAAGUCCAUUUGUAGGGGGACAUACGGUGGUCAGGCUUCCGAGGCUCCAGACGCACCCAGAGGCACUGCCUAUAGCCGUCUGCUUUUCUUU